rnacentral:misc_RNA from 1 species
UGUUUAGAGGGUGAUUUUGAAACUAUUGCGGACUUUCUUCUGAGGGCAGCUCAAAUAACCUGUGCAAUACAGAGGGAACAUGGGAAGUUCCAGAGAGAUUUUCUCAAGGGUCUUCCAAACAAUAGAGAUAUUGUUGAGCUCCAAAACCAGGUUGAGACAUUUUCUUCCCAGUUUGCAAUGCCAGGGUUCGACUUUUGAAUGUGUAAAGAGGACAACUUGAAUGCAUCCUUAGGUGGCUUCCCGCUAUCUGUUUGGAUGGAGAAAAACUGUAAUUAUGUUCCC